rnacentral:misc_RNA from 1 species
AAUUGGCACUAUCAUUUUUGGAUGGCUGGUAAUUUUGGCAAGUGGUUUUGUUCCAUGGGAUUCUCAAGACAUAGUUAAGGUCCAUGGGGCAUUGUGAUGACAAAUUAUUUUGGGCAGGAGGAAGAGAGGCUAUAGUAGCUUCAUGGGUAGGGGAGAUAAUAGCAGAAAGAGAGAGUAACAAGAGAAGAAGCAAAUCAAUAUUGGCCAUUUC